rnacentral:rRNA from 1 species
UACGUAGGGGGCUAGCGUUGUCCGGAAUCAUUGGGCGUAAAGCGCGUGUAGGCGGUCCGGUAAGUCCGCUGUGAAAGUCGGGGGCUCAACCCUCGGAUGCCGGUGGAUACUGCCGGGCUAGAGUCCGGAAGAGGCGAGUGGAACUCCUGGUGUAGCGGUGGAAUGCGCAGAUAUCAGGAAGAACACCAACGGCGAAGGCAGCUCGCUGGGACGGUACUGACGCUGAGACGCGAAAGCGUGGGGAGCGAACAGG